GAGUUUGAUCGUGGCUCAGAUUGAACGCUAGCGGGAUGCUUUACACAUGCAAGUCGAACGGCAGCGGGUCCUUCGGGAUGCCGGCGAGUGGCGAACGGGUGAGUAAUGUAUCGGAACGUGCCCAGUAGCGGGGGAUAACUACGCGAAAGCGUGGCUAAUACCGCAUACGCCCUUAGGGGGAAAGGCGGGGAUCCUUCGGGACCUGUCACUAUUGGAGCGGCCGAUAUCGGAUUAGCUGGUUGGUGGGGUAAUGGCCUACCAAGGCGACGAUCCGUAGCUGGUUUGAGAGGACGACCAGCCACACUGGGACUGAGACACGGCCCAGACUCCUACGGAAGGCAGCAGUGGGGAAUUUUGGACAAUGGGGGCAACCCUGAUCCAGCCAUCCCGCGUGUGCGAUGAAGGCCUUCGGGUUGUAAAGCACUUUUGGCAGGGAAGAAAUUGCCUGGGUUAAUAGCCUGGGCCGAUGACGGUACCUGCAGAAUAAGCACCGGCUAACUACGUGCCAGCAGCCGCGGUAAUACGUAGGGUGCGAGCGUUAAUCGGAAUUACUGGGCGUAAAGCGUGCGCAGGCGGUUCGGAAAGAGAGAUGUGAAAUCCCAGGGCUCAACCUUGGAACUGCAUUUUUAACUACCGGGCUAGAGUGUGUCAGAGGUGGGUGGAAUUCCGCGUGUAGCAGUGAAAUGCGUAGAGAUGCGGAGGAACACCGAUGGCGAAGGCAGCCCCCUGGGAUAACACUGACGCUCAUGCACGAAAGCGUGGGUAGCAAACAGGAUUAGAUACCCUGGUAGUCCACGCCCUAAACGAUGUCAACUAGCUGUUGGGGCUUUCGGGCCUUGGUAGCGCAGCUAACGCGUGAAGUUGACCGCCUGGGGAGUACGGUCGCAAGAUUAAAACUCAAAGGAAUUGACGGGGACCCGCACAAGCGGUGGAUGAUGUGGAUUAAUUCGAUGCAACGCGAAAAACCUUACCUACCCUUGACAUGUC
rnacentral:rRNA from 1 species